rnacentral:rRNA from 1 species
AACGAACGCUGGCGGCAGGCUUAACACAUGCAAGUCGAACGGUUGUAGCAAUACAGCAGUGGCAGACGGGUGAGUAACACGUGGGAACCUUCCUAGGGGUACGGAACAACUCAGGGAAACUUGAGCUAAUACCGUAUACGUCCGUGAGGAGAAAGAUUUAUCGCCCUUAGACGGGCCCGCGUCGGAUUAGCUAGUUGGUGGGGUAACGGCCUACCAAGGCGACGAUCCGUAGCUGAUCUUAGAGGAUGAUCAGCCACACUGGGACUGAGACACGGCCCAGACUCCUACGGGAGGCAGCAGUGGGGAAUCUUGGACAAUGGGCGCAAGCCUGAUCCAGCCAUGCCGCGUGAGUGAAGAAGGUCUUCGGAUUGUAAAGCUCUUUGCCAGGGACGAUAAUGACGGUACCUGGAGAAUAAGCCCCGGCAAACUUCGUG